AUUGAACGCUGGCGGCAGGCCUAACACAUGCAAGUCGAACGAGUGGCGGACGGGUGAGUAAUGUCUGGGAAACUGCCUGAUGGAGGGGGAUAACUACUGGAAACGGUAGCUAAUACCGCAUACCAUAAGAUGUGCCCAGAUGGGAUUAGCUAGUUGGUGGGGUAACGGCUCACCAAGGCGACGAUCCCUAGCUGGUCUGAGAGGAUGACCAGCCACACUGGAACUGAUACCCGGUCCAGACUCCGACGUGAGGAAGCAGUGGGGAAUAUUGGACAAUGGGCGAAAGCCUGAUCCAGCCCUGCCGCGUGUGUGAAGAAGGUCUUCGGAUUGUAAAGCACUUGAAGUUGGGAGGCGUUACCAACAGAAUAAGCACCGGCUAACUUCGUGCCAGCAGCCGCGGUAAUAC
rnacentral:rRNA from 1 species